UACAGAGGUCUCAAGCGUUGUUCGGAUUCAUUGGGCGUAAAGGGUGCGUAGGCGGCGCGGUAAGUCGGGUGUGAAAUCUCGGAGCUUAACUCCGAAACUGCAUUCGAUACUGCCGUGCUUGAGGACUGGAGAGGAGACUGGAAUUUACGGUGUAGCGGUGAAAUGCGUAGAUAUCGUAAGGAAGACCAGUGGCGAAGGCGGGUCUCUGGACAGUUCCUGACGCUGAGGCACGAAAGGCC
rnacentral:rRNA from 1 species